rnacentral:rRNA from 1 species
AUUGAACGCUGGCGGAAUGCUUUACACAUGCAAGUCGAACGGCAGCACGGACUUCGGUCUGGUGGCGAGUGGCGAACGGGUGAGUAAUACAUCGGAACGUGCCCAGUCGUGGGGGAUAACGUAGCGAAAGCUACGCUAAUACCGCAUACGAUCUAAGGAUGACAGCGGGGGACCGUAAGGCCUCGCGCGAUUGGAGCGGCCGAUGGCAGAUUAGGGAGUUGGUGGGGUAAAGGCCCACCAAGCCGACGAUCUGUAGCUGGUGUGAGAGGACGACCAGCCACACUGGGACUGAGACACGGCCCAGACUCCUACGGGAGGCAGCAGUGGGGAAUUUUGGACAAUGGGCGCAAGCCUGAUCCAGCCAUUCCGCGUGCAGGAUGAAGGCCCUCGGGUUGUAAACUGCUUUUGUACGGAACGAAAAGGCUCUGGUUAAUACCUGGGGCUCGUGACGGUACCGUAAGAAUAAGCACCGGCUAACUACGUGCCAGCCGCCGCCGUAA